GAUGAACGCUGGCGGCGUGCUUAACACAUGCAAGUCGAACGGUGAAGCAGGAGCUUGCUCCUGUGGAUUAGUGGCGAACGGGUGAGUAACACGUGAGCAAUCUGCCCUGGACUCUGGGAUAAGCGUUGGCAACGACGUCUAAUACCGGAUACGAGGCGUGGGGGCAUCGCCAACGCCUGGAAAGAACUUCGGUCCAGGAUGAGCUCGCGGCCUAUCAGGUAGUUGGUGAGGUAACGGCUCACCAAGCCUACGACGGGUAGCCGGCCUGAGAGGGUGACCGGCCACACUGGGACUGAGACACGGCCCAGACUCCUACGGGAGGCAGCAGUGGGGAAUAUUGCACAAUGGGCGCAAGCCUGAUGCAGCAACGUCGCGUGAGGGACGACGGCCUUCGGGUUGUAAACCUCUUUUAGCAGGGAAGAAGCGAAAGUGACGGUACCUGCAGAAAAAGCACCGGCUAACUACGUGCCAGCCGCCGCCGUAAAAC
rnacentral:rRNA from 1 species